CCAUCGGCUGUGGUGAGGACUGCAGGGCCUGCUCCCUUCCAGGGCCCUUUCCCCUGGGCCAGAUGGAAAGGGCCCUGGAAGGGAGCAGGCCCUGCAGUCCUCACCACAGCCGAUGG